CAAAAACAUCGCCUCCCGCAAAAAUCAAAGUAUAGGAGGUCUUACCUGCCCAGUGACACAUGUUAAACGGCCGCGGUAUUUUGACCGUGCUAAGGUAGCGCAAUCACUUGUCUUUUAAAUGAAGACCUGUAUGAAUGGUGAAACGAGGGCUUAACUGUCUCCCCUUUCAAGUCAAUGAAAUUGAUCUGCCCGUGCAGAAGCGGACAUAAUUAUACAAGACGAGAAGACCCUUUGGAGCUUAAGACACAAAAUUAACUGUGUUUUAAUAUCUAAACAAAAUAGAUACAAGCAAAACAGCACUAAUUCCACUCUUCAGUUGGGGCGACUGUGGGGGAAAAAAAAGCCCCCAUGUGGACUGGGAUAAUUCCCGAAACUAAGAGGGACACCUCUAAGUCACAGAACAUCUGACCAAUACAGAUCCGGCAAUUAGCCGACCAACGAACCAAGUUACCCUAGGGAUAACAGCGCAAUCCCCUCCAAGAGUUCUUAUCGACAAGGGGGUUUACGACCUCGAUGUUGGAUCAGGACAUCCUAAUGGUGCAGCCGCUAUUAAGGGUUCGUUUGUUCAACGAUUAAAGUCCUACGUGAUCUG
rnacentral:rRNA from 1 species